CGAACAUUGAUCAAUGAUAGGGUCUCACUCGAUAGAGAUAUAAGUGCGGAUGAAUCUUCUCUUGUUUCAUUUACUUCUACACGAUCAGGAAACUGGGGCUACUAAGUUGAUUCUGUUCAGAACCUACUCUGUACUGGUCCAGGUUCUCCAUAUUUUUUUCUUUUAUAAUGGAAGAAUUAUAUGCAUUGAACAGUUUUGUACCUGAAUACAGAGGAAAAAGCUUCAGCUGCUUUGUGCAGUCCAUUCUCCUGGGAAGCUUCAGGUGUUCAGCAAUUCAUUCUCCUAAGCUACUAUAAGAUCUAUUUUGCAUAUGCAAAUCCCCGCAAUUCAGCUGGUUAUGGUAGAUGGAGUCCUCACAAACAACCCAUGAUAGGUUGUCAGAUUUUCUUUUCUUUCUGUUUUCUUGAUUGAUGCCUCUGUUGGGGAUGCUUCUUAAUGAAAUUAUUUAAUUCAAACCAAAUUGUCAUUCAAAUGUAUCCUUGGAUUCUUUAUUAAUGUUCCUUAUUUGUAUCAUAAAUUUAAAGGUUAUAAGGAAAGAAUAAAAUCAAAGAUU